rnacentral:rRNA from 1 species
ACACAUGCAAGUCGAGGGGCAGCGCGGGAUAGCAAUAUUCUGGCGGCGACCGGCGGAAGGGUGCGUAACGCGUGAGCGACAUGCCCGUUGCCCGGGGACAACCGGUGGAAACGCCGACUAAUCCCCGAUGGGAUACGAUGCUGCAUGGCAUUGUAUUGAAAGUUACGGCGGCGACGGAUUGGCUCGCGUCCGAUUAGCUGGUUGGCGGGGUAACGGCCCACCAAGGCUGCGAUCGGUAGGGGUUCUGAGAGGAAGGCCCCCACAAUGGGACUGAGACACGGCCCAUACUCCUACGGGAGGCAGCAGUGAGGAAUAUUGGUCAAUGGGCGGAAGCCUGAACCAGCCAUGCCGCGUGCGGGAAGGAGGCCCUAUGGGCUGUGAACCGCUUUUGCCUGGGGGCAAUAAGGGCGUCGCGCACGCCCGAUGAGAGUACCAGGCGAAUAAGCAUCGGCUAACUCCGUGCCAGCAGCCGCGGUAAUACGGGGGAUGCGAGCGUUAUCCGGAUUCAUUGGGUUUAAAGGGUGCGUAGGCUGUGCGUCAAGUCGGGGGUGAAAUUCCGGUGCUCAACACCGGGGCUGCCCUUGAUACUGUCGCGCUGGAGUGCGGAUGCCGCCGGAGGAAUGAGUGGUGUAGCGGUGAAAUGCUUAGAUAUCACUCAGAACACCGAUUGCGAAGGCAUCUGGCGAAUCCGUAACUGACGCUGAGGCACGAAAGCGUGGGGAUAGAACAGGAUUAGAUACCCUGGUAUUCCACGCCGUAAACGAUGAUGGCUAACC